AUACAGCAGCAGUUAAUGUAUAACAGAUUGGUCACAAAACCUGUAAGGCCAGUUAGAAUGAGGGAAAUAAAACAUUUGGCGUCUUUAAUUACUGCAGUACUUGAAACACUAUGUUUCAGCGGAAUGGUUUAUGGCUGGGGAUCAAUGAGUUAUAUGUUGGAAAAAGAAGGAUAUUUUAAUUCGACUUGUAACAAUUCCGUCGGUUCUCUUAACCCAGCAACUCCUAACGCAGAUGCGGUGGAGUAUGCGGCACCUGCUUCGAAUUUAUUUCUUGAAGGACAAACCGAGGCCGAAUGUGAAAAGCAAGAGAAAAUGUUAACUUUAGUUUUCACGCUUUCCUCUGUCAUUUCAUCGGCUCUUAUCAUCAUUACUGGGUAUAUUUUCGAUAAAUUUGGUACUUGGGUGGUUCGAUUCUGUGGAAUAUCUCUAUACAUAGUAGGGUGGUUAAUCAUGGCCGUCACGACCAGAAUGGAAUCUUGGGCUGUAUUUCUCGCCAUGAUACUUGUUGGGAUUUCAGGCUUUCCUUUGGUUAUUUCAAAUGUUUCUAUUUCUAAUUUAUUCCAAAAUCACCGGGUGUUGGUUAUAUCCGUUAUAAACGGUGCGUUUGACUCGUCAGCAGUGACUUUUGCCUUGAUGAAAAUCGCUUACGACAGUGGAAUAGAGUUCAGUUACAUCAUGUACUUCAUGACUGCCUGUGCCGUGUUAAUGAUUGCGCGUUUCUUGUUUCUUAUGCCACGGAUGCAUAUUCCCUCUGUUGUGCCGAAUGACUUCCAGUACGGUCUACAAUGUUGCAAAAUGAGACAGGAAUCAGCUAGGGGAGAAGAAAUAAAUGGUUAUGAAAAUCUUAUAGAAGAAGAACCGGAGAACACUGCGAGCUUAAAGUCUUGCCUACUAAGUGUCAGUUUUAUAUUAAACUGUAUACAUGUAGGCUCACUGCAGCUACGCACCCAAUUCUUCUACGGGACAACCAAGCCUUGGUUAGUACAAGUAGAUCACGACAAUCCAAAUGAAACCAGCACCUAUUUAAACGCAUUUGGUAUCAUUCAGUUGUGCGGCCUUCUGGUAUCUUCACUAGGAGGGAUUCUUACCGACUUUUGUAUCAAGAAAUUCUCGGUUACUUCAAGUGUGACAUUAGCCACUAGGAGAGCUGUUGCUAUAUAUAUCGGUUUAAGCAGUGUUUUCGCUAUCCUGUUUUCCAUAAUCGUUCUUGUACCAGUGUUGCCUUUACAAUAUUUAGCAUUUUUCCUGCAAGUUACAUUUCGCUCGUUUCUGUAUGGUGCCAACGCGACUUUUCUGAUUACAAUGUUUCCAGAAGCAUACUUCGGAAAACUAUAUGGGUUUACCGUUUUCUUCGCUGCUAUUAUAGCACUUUUACAAUAUCCACUCUUUGACGCCGUGACAUACAUAUACGGUGGGGACUUCACUGUUAUCAACAUUUCGCUGCUGAUAAUAUCGAUUGCAACAAUAAUUCAUCCCAUAGUUUUGUACGUGAGACCAGUUACGGUCACAAGAUCUGCAAAUCAUGAUGAAGGUUAGAAUUCACUAACCCAAAGCGCUGUAGUGUUUCAAUUAUAGUGGGCAUUUAUCGAACGCGUUCAAUAUUGUUUUUGUUAUUACGGCCAAAAAUAUUUUCUGACAGUAUUUCCUUUUAACUGUCCGGUAUGUGUUGAUUAUUGUUCUCGUAUUGCCGAUGUGUUGUAUAUUUAAGCGCUUGAAUAAAUAUUGGUGACACAUUCUCGUCGUGAGUUAAGGAUUAAUUUGCUCCAGUCAGAAGUAUAUGUUUCCUAAUACCAACAGCUUGAAAAUAUCGAAACUGUUUCAAGUGACAUAAAACAACAAACGCAAGAUGUGAUUCACAUCGGUAGAUCAUAUAAAUAAAGCGAUUGUUAAGAUAUGCGUAUACUCACUUUGUAUUAAAGUCAACCUAGUAAUAUUAGAAUCGUACAACCAUAAGAAGCAGUAUGGCAAUCAUUUCUUCAGUUUUUAUAAUGGUCGUCGCAGCUCUGCACAUAAAUAUUGUGUGUUGCAAUCCAACCUCGCGGUUUGAAUGCUGGUUUUGCAAAAACGAACAGUCGGAUAAAGAUUGUACAGAAUAUGGGAUGCCGACUACUUGCAGCUGGAAACAGGUUUGUUACACCGAGUCGCGAGUAGAGAACGGAAUGUACCUGAUCACGAGAGGUUGUAAGGAAGUAGACGCUUGUGAAGCUUUACACAUGCAGAACCGAACGCAAUGUCACCCAGAAAUCAACCCCAGCGUGUGUCGUACAUGUUGCGAGAAAGAUGGAUGCAAUUACCAUUUGGACGCUGGAGAAGGAGUUCUGAAUACGAGUAACGUGUCACCAACCCAAGCGGCCGGCGUGGGCAAUGACCAAUUCUUUGGUGGACGAAUUCUACCCGGUGGAGUUCCGCCCCCAGUGCCUACAGAAAUAGCUCCACCAAAUUGCAGCCAAUAUGUCAAACCAGGACCCACUCCCCUUAACCUGCUCCCCGAAGAGCAAUGUCGAAUCAAUGUCUCGCCAGUGUGUGUCAGCAGUGGCAGUCUUGUGUUCGUGUUGCCAAAACUACCGACACCACUUCGAGAGGAAGGACUAAAGUAUAGCAGAGCACGACAAGCGGAACGGGGACUGUGCCCAAGAAACCCUCAACUCGAAACAAAGGCGGUUUACGAAGAAGAUGAUAGCUUUGUUCUUCUGACCAUCGUCAAUUAUCGUUAUUCCAACGCAUUACCAGUUGCUCAGCAGUUUGAUCAUCUUGUCGGAGGAGAAAAUGUCCGGGAGUUCGUGAAAAAAGCGCGAUCGGGUGAACCGUAAUGAAAACGACACUGCGUAUUCCCAACAAGUGUUUACGUUAAAAAGAUUACCUGUUAAUGUUAUUUAUCCAGCGACUUGUUUUUUAUUAAUCGGAGAUUUUACUAAAAAGAUAUAUUUUUGAAGAGGUA